GAUCAAGCUAGUAAGGGCAUAUGGUGGAUGCCUUGGCACCAGGAGCCGAAGAAGGACGUGACAAGCUGCGAAAAGCUGUGGUGAGCCGCAAAUAGGCAUAGACCCACAGAUAUCCGAAUGAGGGAACUCACCUGAGGUAAUGCUCAGGUAUCAUACAGUGAAUAAAAUAGCUGUAUGAGGGUAGACCGGGGGAACUGAAACAUCUAAGUACCCCGAGGAAAAGAAAGAAACAUCGAUUCCCUAAGUAGCGGCGAGCGAAAGGGGAAGAGCCCAAACCAGUGAGGGAAACCUUGCUGGGGUUGAGGACCGGCGUAAUCAGUUGAAGACUUAGCCGAAUAGAGUUGGAAAGCUCAAUCAUAGAAGGUAAAAAUCCUGUAGGCGAAAAGUUGGGGACUGAGGCCGGGAUCCAGAGUACCACGAGGAACGAGGAACCUAGUGGGAAGCAGGGAGGCCCACCUCCCAAGGCUAAAUACUACCUGGUGACCGAUAGCGCAUAGUACCGUGAGGGAAAGGUGAAAAGAACCCCGGGAGGGGAGUGAAAUAGAACCUGAAACCGUAUGCCUACAAUCGGUGGGAGCACAUUUAGGUGUGACCGCGUACUUUUUGUAGAACGGACCAGCGAGUUGCGAUAGUUAGCGAGGUUAAGGACUAAAGGUCUGAAGCCGAAGCGAAAGCGAGUCUGAAUAGGGCGUUAAGUUAGCUGUUGCAGACCCGAAACCGGGUGACCUAUCCAUGGACAGGGUGAAGUUUUGGUAAAGCAAAAUGGAGGCCCGAACUCACCGUUGUUGAAAAAACGGGGGAUGAGCUGUGGAUAGCGGAGAAAUUCCAAUCGAACUCGGAGAUAGCUGGUUCUCCCCGAAAUAGCUUUAGGGCUAGCCUCAAUGGAGAAUCUCGGAGGUAGAGCACUGAAUGGGCUAGGGGCCUUGCGGUUACCGAACCCUAUCAAACUCCGAAUGCCGAAGAUUUGCUCAUUGGGAGUCAGACUACGAGUGAUAAGAUCCGUGGUCGAGAGGGAAAGAGCCCAGACCAUCAGCUAAGGUCCCCAAAUCCAAACUAAGUGGAAAAGGAUGUGUGACUACGAAGACAACCAGGAUGUUGGCUUAGAAGCAGCCACUCAUUUAAAGAGUGCGUAAUAGCUCACUGGUCAAGUGGUCAUGCGCCGAAAAUGUCCGGGGCUAAAGUUUGGUACCGAAGCUAUGGCAUCGAAAGAUGGGUAGGGGAGCGUCCUAUAUGGGCAGAAGCUGUACCGGAAGGAGCAGUGGACUGUAUAGGAGAGAGAAUGCUGGUAUAAGUAGCGAAAGUUAAGUGAGAAUCUUAACCGUCGAAAGUCUAAGGUUUCCUGAGGAAGGUUCGUCCGCUCAGGGUAAGUCGGGACCUAAGGAGAGGCGUGAAGCGUAUCCGAUGGACAAUCGGUUGAAAUUCCGAUACCACCCUAAUUCGUUUGGAGGAAGCAGUGACGCAGGAGGAUAGGAUGAGCACGGAGUUGGUUUACCGUGUUCAAGCACGAAGGCUGCCAUGUAGGAAAGACCGCAUGGCGAUAAGGCUGACGUGUGAUGGGGAGUGAAAUUAGAGUAACGAAGCAUCCGAUUUCACACUGCCGAGAAAAGCUGCUAACGAGAAUUAGAGGUGCCCGUACCGCAAACC
rfam:Lutispora thermophila DSM 19022 genome assembly, contig: EJ66DRAFT_scaffold00058.58